UGUUCAUCUCGUGGAGUUCUGAGAUCUCUGAUUAAACUGAUUACGAUUUAAGAGAUAGAGAUCUACUCGAGCAAGUUGGUGUCGUUAUUCCUCUGCAAUUUAAGCAUGAAAGGAGCGUGAUGGAGAAAUCCCUAAUGUAGUUUGUCUGAGUUCGGAGGCUUCGAAGUUUUUUUUGUUUCAGAAAGAAAAGCACUGGCUGUAAAGUUGUGGAGAAAGUUCAAGGUGUGUUCUUGUUUCUCAGAGCGUUUUCAAAGUUUCAAAUAUUUUCUCUUUGCAGUUGGUUGGUUUGCCCUUUUCUUGAUUUAUGAGAAGAUGGUUCAAUACAACCAGUGAUCUAGUCACGGGUAAAAAAGGUAGGCUAACCUGAACUGUUCUUGCGAAGAUGGAUAGUUCAUCGUUUGUUGAGGUAUGCAUUCAUUCUUAUGGAGAAGUUAGGUCAAAUUAUUAAAACUUGCACUGCUCUGCAGCUAUAAUUUAUUAUGA